rnacentral:rRNA from 1 species
UUCCGGUUGAUCCUGCCGGCGGCCACCGCUAUUGGAGUUCGAUUAAGACAUGCGAGUCGAGAGGGUUCGGCCCUCGGCGUAAUGCUCAGUAACACGCGGAUAAUCUGCCCUAAGGUACGGGAUAAUCUCGGGAAACUGAGGCUAAUACCGUAUAGGUCUAGUAUGCUGGAACGCUUCCAGACCCAAAGAUUACGCCUUAGGAUGAGUCUGCGGCCUAUCAGGUAGUAGUGGGUGUAACGUACCUACUAGCCUUCGACGGGUACGGGCUUUGGGAGAAGUCGCCCGGAGAUGGAUUCUGAGACACGAAUCCAGGCCCUACGGGGCGCAGCAGUUACGAAAACUUGCCAAUGAGGGAAACCUCGAGCAGGGAACUCCAAGUGCAUGCACAUAGUGUAUGCUGUUCUUUAGUCUUAAAAACUUUAGAAGUAAGGGCUGGGUAAGACGGGUGCCAGCCGCCGCGGUAAUACCCGCAGCCCAAGUGGUGGUCACUAUUAUUGAGCCUAAAGCGUCCGUAGCCGGAAUGUUAAAUCUUUGGGUAAAUCGAACGGCUUAACCGUUCGAAGUCCGAAGAGACUGGCAUUCUUGGAACCGGGAGAGGUCAGAGGUACUUCGGGGGUAGGGGUAAUAUCCUGUAAUCCUCGAAGGACCACCAGUGGCGAAGGCGUCUGACUUGAACGGAUUCGACGGUGAGGGACGAAGCCCAGGGGCGCAAACGGGAUUAGAUACCCCGGUAGUCCUGGGUGUAAACGCUGCUGGCUUGGUGUCGGGGAUCCUACGUGGGUGCCCGGUGCCGGAGAGAAGUUGUUAAGCCAGCCGCUUGGGGAGUACGGUCGCAAGACUGAAACUUAAAGGAAUUGGCGGGAGAGCAC